rnacentral:lncRNA from 1 species
ACAAUCAAUUUAUUUAAAUCGCAUCACAAUUGACUAAUAAUUGCUAAUUUAUUCUAAUCUAACAACCUAAACAUAAUUAAUUAAAUCUAAACCAACCUUAAGCAUAAUUAGCCAACUAAUCCAAGAUUAGUGAGAUUACUCACCAAAUCGCGCACAAAUCGGAUCAAUCCGUCGGCGGCGACGCGAGGAACGAUUCUUCCCAAAGCACCGCUCGGGUUCGGGGCCGGGAAACGGCCCAAAACGGGCCCGAACCAGCUGGAAACCCAUUUCGUGGGUUUCUGCCCUUGGCUGGUCGGAGCAGAUCCGGCGGCCAAAACGGCGAGGGAAGGCCGGCGGAAGGCGAGGGGGUCGCGGGGGAGGUCCGGCGAGGCUAGGCGGUGGCCGGACGGUGGCCGGACGGUGGCUGGUCGGUGCGGAACAGGGGCGAACAGCAGCUGGGUUGGCUGGAUCGCGCGGAGGGAGGAGCGGCAGCGAGCGACGGACGGCGGGACGGCGACGGGCGCACGGGCGUGGGCAGCGGUGCGGCGAGCGGUUCUCGGCGAGCUGCGAUCUCCGAGCUCCUGGUUCGCACGCGAAGAAAAGAAGGAGAAGAAAAGCUGGUUCUGUCGUGAGGGGGAAGAAAGAAGAGAGAGGAGAGAGAAGAGAGAAGAUAAGCUUGGACUAGUCAAAGGGAAGAGAGAGAAAAGGUGGGCGGUGGGGGAGUCGCACGAAGGGGAAGGGAAAAGGGGGGAGGAGAGAGAAG